CGGAAUUACUGGGCGUAAAGCGUGCGCAGGCGGUUAUGUAAGACAGAUGUGAAAUCCCCGGGCUCAACCUGGGAACUGCAUUUGUGACUGCAUGGCUAGAGUACGGUAGAGGGGGAUGGAAUUCCGCGUGUAGCAGUGAAAUGCGUAGAUAUGCGGAGGAACACCGAUGGCGAAGGCAAUCCCCUGGACCUGUACUGACGCUCAUGCACGAAAGCGUGGGGAGCAAACAGGAUUAGAUACCCUGGUAGUCCACGCCCUAAACGAUGUCAACUGGUUGUUGGGAAUUAGUUUUCUCAGUAACGAAGCUAACGCGUGAAGUUGACCGCCUGGGGAGUACGGCCGCAAGGUUGAAACUCAAAUGAA
rnacentral:rRNA from 1 species